UACGUAGGGCGCAAGCGUUAUCCGGAAUUAUUGGGCGUAAAGAGCUCGUAGGCGGUUUGUCGCGUCUGCCGUGAAAGUCCGGGGCUCAACUCCGGAUCUGCGGUGGGUACGGGCAGACUAGAGUGAUGUAGGGGAGACUGGAAUUCCUGGUGUAGCGGUGAAAUGCGCAGAUAUCAGGAGGAACACCGAUGGCGAAGGCAGGUCUCUGGGCAUUAACUGACGCUGAGGAGCGAAAGCAUGGGAAGCGAACGGG
rnacentral:rRNA from 1 species